GACGAACGCUGGCGGCGUGCUUAACACAUGCAAGUCGAACGGAAAGGCCCUGCUUGCAGGGUGCUCGGGUGGCGAACGGGUGAGUAACACGUGGGUGAUCUGCCCCUUACUUUGGGAUAAGCCUGGGACACUGGGUCUAAUACUGGAUAGGACCAUGCUGUAGGUGGUGUGGUGGAAAGAUUAGUUUCGGUAAGGGAUGAGCUCGCGGCCUAUCAGCUUGUUGGUGGGGUAAUGGCCUACCAAGGCGUCGACGGGUAGCCGGCCUGAGAGGGUGGACGGCCACAUUGGGACUGAGAUACGGCCCAGACUCCUACGGGAGGCAGCAGUGGGGAAUAUUGCACAAUGGGCGCAAGCCUGAUGCAGCGACGCCGCGUGGGGGAUGACGGCCUUCGGGUUGUAAACUCCUUUCAGCCAUGACGAAGCCCUUGUGGUGACGGUAGUGGUAGAAGAAGCACCGGCUAACUACGUG
rnacentral:rRNA from 1 species